AACGAACGCUGGCGGCAUGCCUAACACAUGCAAGUCGAACGAGACCUUCGGGUCUAGUGGCGCACGGGUGCGUAACGCGUGGGAACCUGCCCUUAGGUUCGGAAUAACUCCCCGAAAGGGGUGCUAAUACCGGAUAAUGUCUUCGGACCAAAGAUUUAUCGCCUUUGGAUGGGCCCGCGUUGGAUUAGCUAGUUGGUAGGGUAAAAGCCUACCAAGGCGACGAUCCAUAGCUGGUCUGAGAGGAUGAUCAGCCACACUGGGACUGAGACACGGCCCAGACUCCUACGGGAGGCAGCAGUGGAAUAUUGGACAAUGGGCGAAAGCCUGAUCCAGCAAUGCCGCGUGAGUGAUGAAGGCCUUAGGGUUGUAAAGCUCUUUUACCCGGGAUGAUAAUGACAGUACCGGGAGAAUAAGCUCCGGCUAACUCCGUG
rnacentral:rRNA from 1 species